rnacentral:rRNA from 1 species
UACGAAGGGGGCUAGCGUUGCUCGGAAUCACUGGGCGUAAAGCGCACGUAGGCGGCUUCUUAAGUCAGGGGUGAAAUCCUGGAGCUCAACUCCAGAACUGCCUUUGAUACUGAGGAGCUUGAGUCCGGGAGAGGUGAGUGGAAUUCCUGGUGUAGCGGUGGAAUGCGCAGAUAUCAGGAGGAACACCAAUGGCGAAGGCAGCUCGCUGGGACGGUACUGACGCUGAGGCGCGAAAGCGUGGGGAGCAAACAGG